rnacentral:lncRNA from 1 species
AGCCCAACUUCUCUCUCUGUCCAAAUCCUUUCCAUGUGCUGAUACCAAGAACCUUCCCUAAUAAACAUUUCCACAGAUGAAUCUCUAUUUCAGAGUCAGCUUUCCAGGGGACCUAAUCUGUGACAAGAUGUGACUAUAACUGCUCUCUGUAAGAUUAGAGAUGUGAUAAAUAAAUGAUAAUGCAUUUUAUACCACUUUACUUUCAAGAAAAAUAUAGUGUAUAAAAUUAGAUGUUAUUAAUUUAUGCAUAAUAUAUUACUAUAAAUUAUAGUGUAAGGGAAUAAAUAUGUGGGUAAAUACCAUGUACACAAAGUGCAAAUUAUGAUGGUAAGGAAUAAAGAAAAUUAUUUGUUUGUAUUAGUGCCUCAAGAUAAUGCUCCAUUACUUUCCCAUGCCAAAGUUAUUUAAACCAUGCUUACUGGGAAAACAUUUAAAAUCACUCAUUCAAAAGAUUAGUACUGAGAGUUUAUUUUAUGCCAGGCAUUACCCUAGCCUACUGUCCUCAUGAAAUAUAUGUUCUAAUAUGGGAUUAAAGUAGGAGAACCAUAAUCCUGCUACUUGUCUGGUUUACAUUUGUUAUUUUGGCAUCCCAUAUAGUUUAGAAUUUUUUCUUAGUUUUUCAUAUUUUAAGGAAAUAUUUUUACUAAGAGUUUCCAUAAAAUACACGGGGAUGGUUUUGUUAGAAUUCUACUUUUUACUUUCCUCAUGAUCUCAAUUAGUAGUGUGUUAGACGUGAAGUGAACAGAAUUUUCAAAUUAACGUGUGACUAAAUCUCAAAAAUAGUUAGAAGAAACUAUUUACCUUUCUCUCAUCCUUUUCUUAGGCAUUGUAACUAAUUUUCCCCUUUCAGUAAGAGUUUUCAUCAUGUUUUCUGAUGAAAAAAUCUAAGGUGGUAUAUCCAGACAAUAAAAUAUUCAUCAACAAUUAAAAGGAGUAAAGCACAGAUUCAUCAUAGAUAAAACUUGAAGUCUGGGGAGUUACCAUCAUGGCGCAGUGGUUAACAAAUCUGACUAGGAACCAUGAGGUUGAGGGUUUGAGCCUGGUGUAGCUCAGUGGGUUAAGGAUCCAGCAUGGCCGUGAGCUGUGGUGUAGGUCCCAGACAUGGCUUGGAUCCCAAGUUGCUGUGGCUGUGGCAUAGGCUGGCAGCUGAAACUCUGAUUCAGACCCCUAGCCUGGGAACAACUGACAUGAAUGUUUUAGAGGCAGCCAACUUCUUAUGGAUCCUGGUGUUGGUAGGAGAAAUACAGGGGGCUGUUUCUCCUUGGUCAUUUAGUAUGCUAUCCAGUAUACCAUGACUGUGUGGAAAUAACUGGACAAGGUCAGGGGGAAAAAUGCAAAACUAUAACUUAGCUGUGUGUAACUGAGUAGGCCUACCAUGGAAUAUACAGAGGUUGUCUUCAAAAUACUUUAAAAAUUUACUGUAUUAUUUAAUUCAACAAUUAUUUACUCCUUCAGCCUCAGUAAGUUUUCUUUUUUCUUUUCUUUUUUUUUAAGAAGUGCAUGUUUAAUUAAAAUGUAAGAACUGUAUUUCCAUUUCUCAAGAAAGAUGAUAAUGGUGGCAUUCCCACUGUGGUCCAAUGGGUUAAGAAUCUGACUGCAGUGGCUCAGGUCACUGCGGGGGUGUGGGUUCAAUCCCUGGUCUGCUGCAGUGGGUUAAAGGAUACAGAGUUGCUGCAGCUGUUUAGGUCACAGCUACCACUUGGAUUCAGCCCCUGGCUAGGGAACUUCCAUAUGCUGUGGGUAUGGCCAUUAAAAAAAAAAAGAAAGUUGAUACUGAAUGUAUAAAUUGUACAAAGUAUUUGUUGCCAUUUACUACCACUACUACUACAUUUGUAUCUGUAGUGAUGUAAUUGACUACAUGACAACUAGAUGAUGCAUAUCAGCUGAAGUAUCACUAGCAUCUAUUUCAAAUAUUAGCAUUUUUUUUUUCUUUUUUGGCAGGACCUGCAGCAUGUAGAAGUUCUCAGGCUAGGGAUCAAAUCUACACCACAACAGCAACCUGAGCUGCAGUGACAAUACCAGAUGCUUAACCCAAUGAGCCACAAGAUAAUUCCACAAAUAUUAGCAGUUAUUUUUAAAAGAGUGUUCAAAGAUGAUGAUUUAACAAAUGCAACUUCAGAAGAUAAGCUUACAUAUCUUUUUUGGUAGCUUAUUUCGCUUAGGUUAAAUGAUUGCUCUUCUAAAAUAAUUGCACUAAUUAUUAAAUUCAAGGAUUCUUUUGCAUGUAUAAGACAUGAAACAAUAGCUAUUUACAUGUCAGUUCCAUUAGCAGAUGCACUAGCAAUUACAUAAUGCCAUUGUCAUUGGAUGAUUCAAAUAGUAAAUCAGUUAAUUCCAAUAAUGGGUUGGAUUUUCACCUAAGUCAUGGACUCAGAGAAAAACUUUGCAAAAUUUAUUUUUUGAACAUCUAUCCUUAUUGUGAAUAAUAUUGUAAAUUAGAUUAAAAGUUCAAUAUUGAAGAUUUUUUUCUGUAAUAGUAUGAAUACAAAAUUUGGCAAAACAAAGUGUGCAUGGCAAAAACAAUGAUAUUAUUAAGAAAUUUUUGAGUAGAAAUGUACUUGGAGUUGGUUGUGUCACACAUAUUAUUAAUAAUUAAUGUCCUGCCUAUUAAAAUAGAAACUAUAGUUGUCAGAGUAAUUAACCAUGGCAUUUUUUUCUGAUGAGACCGAUUUUCAAAACAAAUAUAUUCUUUUUUUUUUUUUUUUGUCUUUUUAGGGCCACACCCAUGGCAUAUGGAGGUUCCCAGGCUAGGGGUUGAAUCGGAGCUAUAGCUGCAGGCCUAUGCCAGACCUACAGCAAAUAUAUUCUUAAUCAUGGAGGCUACAUAGUUGAUCUCUCCAUUGGCCAUUGUAAAUUAGAUUUAGACCUGUUUGAGCAUUUUAAGAAUGACUAUAUAACUCAACCUAAAAGUAUUUAACAAUUAUGAUGCUAAAAACUUAAACUUGUGAAGUUUUACUGAUUUGCAAGUCUUAAAAUCAAAACCUGCAAUGAAAUUUGAUCCCUCUAGAAGUAAAAUAAGAAAUGAACCAAUUAAACAAUGGUUUGAUUAUGUUUAAUCAAAAAAUAUUUAAUUUUGAUAUUCUAUUAUUGGACAUCAGAAUAGUUCAACUUGGAGUUCCUGUUGUAGCUCAGUGGAAAUGAAUUUGACUAGUAUCCAUGAGGAUGCAGGUUUUAUUCCUGGCCUCACUCAGUAGGUUAAGGAUCCACCAUUGCUGUGAGCUAUGGUGUAGGUAGCAGAUGCUGCUUGGGUCUGGCAUUGUUAUGGUUGUGGCAUAUGCUGGCAGCUACAGCUCCAAUUUGACCCCUAGCCUGGGAACCUCCGUAUGCCCUANAUAUUUCAACUUGUAGGAUGUAUCUUUUUUUUUAAUGAAGUAUCUCAACAAAAUUCCCUUUUUUUUUUUUUGGCCAUACCCAUGACAUAUGGAAGUUCUUGGGCCAGGGAUAGCACCUGAGCUGCAGCUGUGACCUAUGUUCCAGCUUUGGCAAUGCCAGAUCCUUAACCCACUGUGCCACAAUAGGAACGCCAAUGAAAUUCCUAUUUUUAAUCAGAUAAAUUUACAUACAUAAAAUUAAGAAUGAAUUUUACAUAAUCUGAAUAAUUAUAAACUGAGACACAUUCUGUGAUGACUUUUGUCUAAUAAAAGCAUCUGUUGAAGAAAAGUACUCUAAAUAAAAGUAAAAAGAUAGGACUUUUAAAACAUUUGGACUAAAAUAUUAAACAUUUCAACGUCAAAGGAAGCAUUUAAAUUGAGAAUAUGCAAACAUUUCUUAAGACUGCCAGGCUCUUUGGUAAGGGGAGAGUAUUUUCUCAACAAAAAAUACCAUGUUUUAUAGAGUCAGGUCAGUUAAAAACUUCGACAAUUUCAAAUUUGUUAACAUAAAAUACAGUUUUGAAGACUGCAGGCAACUUUAUGAAAAAAACUGAAAACAACACAACUAUAUUUCAAAAAUACAUUCUCCACAAGUAAAACAACAUGACGUAGCGUGACAUAUACAACUAAGAAGCUGUUUGGAAUACAUGAACAUAUAACAAGAAUAAUCAUUCUACAUUUGAGUGUUAAGAUAAUUAAUACAGUUUUUUUUGCUUUAAUGAAUAUAAAUAUGUUGUUUUUUAAUUUAUUUUUAAUUUUUAUUUAUUUAUUUUUUUUAGGGGCACACCCUGGCAGCACAUGGAGGUUUCCAGGCUAGAGGUAGAAUCGGAGCUGUAGCUGCUGGCCUACACCACAGCCACAGCAAUACACAGCUCAGAUCCUGCAUUACUGUGGCUGUGGCAUAGGCUGGCAGCUGUAGCUCUAAUUGGACCCCUAGCCUGGGAAAUUCCGUUUGCCACAAUUGUGGCCCUAAAAAAAAAAAAAAAAAAAGAAUCUUGGAUAAAUUCAUGUAGGUCUGAUUAUUCUUAAUUCAACUAUAAAAAGAUCCAUUUAUACAAGUGAAAAUGAACCAAGUUCUGUCUAGUCAAGUGACAAACUUGAGUUAGGGAAAUAUGCUGUUCAAAGUAAAAGGUAUCAGAAAACAAAAUUGCUGAGCACGGUUGUGGUUGUGUUAGCAGAAAAUAGACUAGCAAUGAAAAUCAGCCUUACAAAAUUUUAUAUGUGACAGAGAAGUAUUAGAUUAUAUUCUCAAACACUUCUCUAAAUCAAAAAGAGUCUUGCCGUUCCUACUGUGGCACAGUGGGUUGGGAAACUGACCUAGUAUCUGUGAGGAUGCAGAUUUGAUCCCUGGCUUCUUGCUCAGUGGGUUAAGCUGUGGUGCAGGCUGUAGCUGCAGCUCCAAUUUCCCCCUAGCCCAGAAACUUCGAUAUGCUGCAGGCCAUAAAAAAAAAAAAAAAAA